GACAGAGGGUGCAAACGUUGUUCGGAAUUACUGGGCGUAAAGCGCGUGUAGGCGGCUUGGCAAGUCUGCUGUGAAAACUCGAGGCUCAACCUCGAGCUGUCGGUGGAAACUGCUUGGCUAGAGUCCGGAAGAGGAGAGUGGAAUUCCUGGUGUAGCGGUGAAAUGCGCAGAUAUCAGGAAGAACACCUAUGGCGAAGGCAGCUCUCUGGGACGGUACUGACGCUGAGACGCGAAAGCGUGGGGAGCGAACAGG
rnacentral:rRNA from 1 species